UACGUAGGGGGCAAGCGUUGUCCGGAAUCAUUGGGCGUAAAGAGCGUGUAGGCGGCUCGAUAAGUCUGUUGUGAAAUCCCCGGGCUCAACCUGGGAAUGGCAAUGGAUACUGGCAGGCUAGAGUGUGUCAGAGGAUGGUGGAAUUCCCGGUGUAGCGGUGAAAUGCGUAGAGAUCGGGAGGAACAUCAGUGGCGAAGGCGGCCAUCUGGGACAACACUGACGCUGAGGCACGAAAGCGUGGGGAGCAAACAGG
rnacentral:rRNA from 1 species